UCUGGAGCCUGGGAAGUCCAAGAUCAAGGUACCAGCAGAUUCAGAUGAAGUCGUGUUCUCAGCUUCAUAGAUGGUGCAUUCUUGCUGCAUCUUCACAUGAUGGAAGGAGUGAACAAGUUCCCUUGGGCCUCUUUUACAAAGGUGGAGAAACGAAGGAUCAAGCAGCGUGACUGGUAGAAACCAUGUUAUACAAGGCGCUCCAGGACGCAGGUGGCGCGCUCAACGCGGGGAGGCGCCACCUACAGGACAGAGGAAGACCAGCAGCUUGGGCUCGAGAUUUCAACAGUCUGUGGCGGGGGCUGCUGAGGACGGCCCCUCCUCCUCCUGGUGUAAUAGUCCCUGACAUUUAUCGAAUGCUCUUCUCGUGCCAGACACUGUCCUUAGCACCUGACAUGUAUUAAUGAUUUUAAACCUCACAACAACCCUAUUAGAAGAGCAUGCCGUUGUCACUUCAGCCUGAGCCCCAGAAUGAGAAGUUACAUGGAGCAGACCUGAACAAGAUUCACAACCUGGAACAGAAUCACUGCAGCCGAUCCACAAACCUGAAAAGGGGCAAGUCGGACUAUUCCCAGGCCACCAGACACAUGCCCCUUGGGGAGUCUUUUACUAGUAGAGUCUGAAUAUCUGGUGCUGACUUCACUAACAAGCCAUCCCUAGGAAGCCCUCACUUACUGUGGCGCCUGUUGUUAGAACUGUGCAUGGAAAUUAUCCCAUGUGGGAACGACGUGCUGCCUUGAAGGACGAGGGGUAUCUGCUGCUCCGGCCUCAGGAAUGGACACACAGGCAAUGUUUGGUAAUCUCAAGCCUGAAGUAAGAACAAUUUAUUUAAAUUUGUCCCAAAUUCCUGACGUCUCAUUGGAUGUCCUAGAAGUUGAACCUAAAGUGAGGUCUUCGCUAGCCAUGACCCUCAAAAAUCCUUGUCCAUUAGGCUCAGUCAUUUGUGAUGUCAGAACUGGAAACAAACUUAAAAGUUCUCUGGUCCAACAUGGCCCUUUUACAGAUGAUAAAACUGAGACCCAGAGGGGGGAAAAAUAACUUGCCAACAGUAUCAGGGCUAUUUCCUGGCAAAACUAACAUAUUGCUUUGAUUCUCCAGGCUUCAGGCCCAUGAGGACCUCCUGGACUAAGAGCCAGUCUCACUGCCACCUGUCAGAGCCUUCUUCAAGGGAGUAAAGAGAGGGACAGGACUCACCUCGCUUCGUGCUGCCAGGGAUAGAGCUAUCCUUUCUCCCCACUCCAUUCCCACCUCGCUGGGAGAGCCUGCAGUUUUUCCAAGGCAGGGCCAGCCUGUCCUGUGCUGGAAGAUGUAUUAAUCAAUUUGAUGAGGAUGUUAAAGCUUUCUCUUUGCAACUAAUUAUGGCCUGAUUUAUAGGCCUGGCCUUGGUUUGAUAGAGCUCUCCUCAUGACAGGGAUGAAUGUGGUACUGGCAUGGACCCCUUCAUCUCUUCCAUUUCUCUCUCUUCCUCCCUCCUCCCUCCCUCCCACGGCUCCUGCCUCCUGCCUCUGCUCUUGGUUCCCACAGGAACACCCUAAUGACAUGUUGACAAGCUAGUGAAGCAUGGCUCCCUCUCUGUUGCAUCUGCCUCUGGCACCACCAUUCCUCCUGUGUUCUCUGACAUGGGCAGAUGGGUGCUGUGCUAGAGGAAGCUCUGUACACCCUUUCCUUCUGGAAACAAGAAACAAUAAAAAUAUUUUGGGUUGAUGCAGCAUCUUCCUUCCCAAACAUUUCAAGAGCUUGUUGAAAUAAACUUCAUCCCUGAUGGAACUUCCAGGUAAGAUUUCAGGUAAAGUUUAUUCUGGUUAUUUUACAAAUGAGAACACUGAGACAGAGAGGUGAACUUGUCUGUGAUUUUACACACAGUAGGACAAUAAAGAUGAGAAUAAAUUGGUGCCAUGGUGUCCAGCUCCAAGAUCCUCCCAUUGCUGGGGUCUUUGGGUCACCUUACUAUUGCUAGGAACCCUUUCCUCAUACC